GACGAACGCUGGCGGCGUGCUUAACACAUGCAAGUCGAACGAUGAUGCCAGCUUGCUGGUUGAUUAGUGGCGAACGGGUGAGUGACACGUGAGCAACAUGCCCCUGACUUCGGGAUAACCGCCGGGAACCGUGGCUUAUAACCGCUAUCACGCGCUGUCGCAUAGUGGUGUGUGGAAAGAUUUUGCGGUUGGGGAUGGGCUCGCGGCCUAUCAGCUUGUUGGUGGGGUGAUGGCCUACCAAGGCGACGACGGGUAGCCGGCCUGAGGGGAUGAUCGGCCAGGCCCGGACUCAGACGGGGGCCAGACUCGGACGGGAUGCAGCAGUGGGGAAAAUUGCACAAUGGGCGCAAGCCGGAUGCAGCGACGGCGCGUGAGGGAUGACGGCCUUCGGGUUGGAAACAUCUGUCAGAAGGGAAGAAGGCCUUCGUGUGAACGGUACCUGCAAAAGAGGCGCCGGCUAACUACGG
rnacentral:rRNA from 1 species